rnacentral:lncRNA from 1 species
UCUGCUUUUGUUGCUUUUUCUUUGUCUGUGCAUUUUGUUCAGUUCUUUGUUCAACAUGCCAAUAACCUGAACAACCCAAUUAAAAACUCUUCAUCUGGUAACACAGAUUUAUUUUAUCUACAUAGAGUUGACAAGGCAACAUUUAAUAAAAGAUCACUCAUACUCCAGUGUACCACAGGAUUAACUUUGUCAGAAAUCAAGUGAGUAUAUUAUUUUCUUUUUGGACUCCAUAUUUUGUUCCAUUGAUUUGUCCAUUGGUAAGGCCAUACCACACUACAUUAGUUACAACAGCUUUACCAUCAGUCUGGAUAUUUGGUAUUGUAAGUCUUCCAGCUUUGCUUUUUUCUUCAAAUAUUCUCUUGGCUAUUUCUGAGCCUUUCAUUUACUUAUAUAUUUCAGAAUCAGUUUGUCAGUUUCCAGCAGGACAAAACUGCUGGGAUUCUGAUUGGCGCUGCGUUGUUUAUAGAUCAAUUUGUGGAGAAUUAAUAUUUUUACUCGUAAUCUUCCAAUACAUUAACAUGUUGUAUCCCAACAUUUAUUUGUCUUCUUUGAUUUCUGUCAAUAUUCUGUAAUUUUAACUAUUUAUAUCUCAUAUUUUAAAUUUAUUCUUGGCACUUAAGAAUUUAUUUGAUAAAUGUUAUAAUUUAAAAUUUAAUUUCCUAUUUAUUUAUUGCUGAUAUAUGUAUUUGAUUUUUUUUCAGAGACAGUGGGUCUUGCUGUGUUGCCCAGGCUGGACUUGAACUCCCGGGCUCAAGCAAUUCUCCUGCCUCAGCCUCCUGAGUAGCUGGGACUGUGGAUGCAUGUCACCAUGCCUGGCUUAUAUUUAAUAUUUUAUAUUGACCUUUGUUUAGCCACAUUGCUAAAUUCACUAUUUAAUUUUAAUAGGUUUUGUGUAGACUUAGAUUUUCCAUAUAUGCAAUCAUGACAUUUGUGAAUAAUGAAGAGUUUCAUUUCUUUUCCAGUCCCACGCCUUAAUUUUUUUUCUUACCUUAUUGUGCUAGGUGGAACUUCAAGUACAUUUAUGUAUGUAACUAUUAAUUUUAUUGAGGUAUCAAUAAAACUACAAUAAAUUAGGUACAAUUUGAUAAGUUUUGACAUACACACUUGAAAAACCAUUACCACAGUAAAAACAAACAAGCAAAAAAACUAAACAUGUCUAUCACCUCCUACUUUUUUCUCUAUAAUCCGUCUCACCUGCCCCAAGCCCCAUAUACCAUUGGUAUGCUUUGUUACUUAGAUUAGUUUGGAUUUUCUAAAACUUUAUGUAAAUAGAAUAAUACAUUAUGUAUUAUUUGUUGUCUGGAUUCUGUCACUCAGCAUAAUUAUUUUGAAUUUCACGUUUUUGCAUACAUCAGUAGUUCAUUUUCAUAUUACUGAGUGGUGUUAUAUUGCAUACAAAUAUUACAAUUUGUUUAUCCAUUCACUUGCUGAUGGAUAUUUGGGUUGUUUCCAGUUUUAGCUAUUUCAAAUAAAAAUAAUGAGAACAUUUAUUUACAAGUCUUCAUAUGGAUGUAUGCCUUAUUUUUUCUUAAGUAAAUACCUAGAAGUGGCUAAAUCAUCUGAUAGGUGUAUUUUUAGCAUAAGAAAUUGUCAAACUGUUUUCCGAAGUGGCUUACCAUUUCACAUUCCCACCAGCAGUGUGUAAGAGUUCCAUUUCUUGACCAGGCACAGUGGCUCACGCCUGUAAUCCCAACAACUUAGGGAGGCCAAGGCAGGCAGAUCAUUUGAGGUCAGGAGUUCGAGACCAGCCUAGCCAAUAUAGUGAAACCCUGUCUCUACUAGAAAUACAAAAUUUAGCCGGGUGUGGUGGCAGAUGCCUGUGGUCCCAGCUACUCGGGAGGCUGAGGCAGGAGAAUCACUUGAACCUGGGAGGCAGAGGCUGCAGUGAGCCAAGAUCUCACCACUGCACUCCAGCCUGGGUGACAGAGCAAGA